UACGAAGGUCCCAAGCGUUAUCCGGAUUUAUUGGGUUUAAAGGGUGCGUAGGCGGGUUGUUAAGUCAGGGGUGAAAGCUCCAUGCCUAACAUGGAAAUUGCCAUUGAUACUGAUGAUCUUGAGUACAUUUGAAGUGGGCGGAAUGUGUCAUGUAGUGGUGAAAUACUUAGAUAUGACACAGAACACCGAUUGCGUAGGCAGCUCACUAAACUGUAACUGACGCUGAGGCACGAAAGCGUGGGGAUCAAACAGG
rnacentral:rRNA from 1 species